AUGUUGCAAAACCUUACAAAACCGUGUUAUAAUAAAGGUGUUCUUUUGAACUAUGGUAAUAAAAGUCGCUUGGAAUAGGCGUAACGGACCCGGGGGCGGUACCCGGCGUCUCCACCAAAGUCCACUAAAUAUAGUGAAUUUUGGCGGGGACGAAAUAGGAUCGACGUGCGUAAUAAAGAAGUAAGAUUUUGCCCGGCAUGAUAUCACCGUGAAGAAUCAAAUAAAGUAAAUGCUACUUUAACAACAAUGAAAGCAGCUAACGAUAACGCAAAACGUAUCGUUGUUGCUAAUGACAACUAUGCUCCUGUAGCAAUGGCAGCAGCUGCAUAACCAGUCAUUAAGCGGUUUGGGGGACACCGGGCAACAGAAGUCCCCUUUU
rnacentral:tmRNA from 1 species